ensembl:miRNA
CAGACCUGUGGGAAAGGUCCAACCUCACAUGUCCUGUAUAGAAUAAAGAGGGAUAUAUGUGGUCAGACCUAUCCCACAGGCCC